CCCUUAGAUGUCCUGGGCCGCACGCGCGCUACACUGAGUGUCUGAGAUAUGAGGCAUGCCUGGUCCGGCAAGGUCUAGGUAAUCACGAAAAGGCACAUCAUGCUUGGGAUUGAUUAUUGCAAAUUUUAAUCAUGAACGAGGAAUUCCUAGUAAGCGCGAGUCAUCAGCUCGCGCUGAUUACGUCCCUGCCCUUUGUACACACCGCCCGUCGCUACUACAGAGUGCCCGUGUCCAAGAAACGGUCGGACCUGUGCGGCCUCUCCGGGCGACCGGAGGGCCGUUACGGGGAAGACCCUUUAUUUGACGCGGGUCGAUGAAGUAAAAGUCGUAACA
rnacentral:rRNA from 1 species